AGAGUUUGAUCCUGGCUCAGGAUGAACGCUGGCGGCAUGCCUAAUACAUGCAAGUCGAACGAGAGGAAGGAAAGCUUGCUUUCCUAAAUCUAGUGGCGAACGGGUGAGUAACACGUAGGUAACCUGCCCAUGUGCCCGGGAUAACUUCUGGAAACGGAUGCUAAAACCGGAUAGGUAGCAGACAAGCAUUUGACUGCUAUUAAAGUGGCUAAGGCCAUGAACAUGGAUGGACCUGCGGUGCAUUAGCUAGUUGGUGAGGUAACGGCCCACCAAGGCGACGAUGCAUAGCCGGCCUGAGAGGGCGGACGGCCACAUUGGGACUGAGACACGGCCCAAACUCCUACGGGAGGCAGCAGUAGGGAAUCUUCCACAAUGGACGCAAGUCUGAUGGAGCAACGCCGCGUGAGUGAAGAAGGUUUUCGGAUCGUAAAGCUCUGUUGUUGGUGAAGAAGGAUAGAGGCAGUAACUGGUCUUUAUUUGACGGUAAUCAACCAGAAAGUCACGGCUAACUACGUGCCAGCAGCCGCGGUAAUACGUAGGUGGCAAGCGUUGUCCGGAUUUAUUGGGCGUAAAGCGAGCGCAGGCGGAAUGAUAAGUCUGAUGUGAAAGCCCACGGCUCAACCGUGGAACUGCAUCGGAAACUGUCAUUCUUGAGUGCAGAAGAGGAGAGUGGAAUUCCAUGUGUAGCGGUGGAAUGCGUAGAUAUAUGGAAGAACACCAGUGGCGAAGGCGGCUCUCUGGUCUGCAACUGACGCUGAGGCUCGAAAGCAUGGGUAGCGAACAGGAUUAGAUACCCUGGUAGUCCAUGCCGUAAACGAUGAGCGCUAGGUGUUGGGGACUUUCCGGUUCUCAGUGCCGCAGCAAACGCAUUAAGCGCUCCGCCUGGGGAGUACGACCGCAAGGUUGAAACUCAAAGGAAUUGACGGGGGCCCGCAC
rnacentral:rRNA from 1 species